rnacentral:rRNA from 1 species
UACAGGGGUCUCAAGCGUUGUUCGGAUUCAUUGGGCGUAAAGGGCGCGUAGGCGGCAAUUCAAGUCAGCUGUGAAAUCUCCGGGCUUAACUCGGAACGGUCAGCUGAUACUGCUUUGCUAGAGUGCAGAAGGGGCAAUCGGAAUUCUUGGUGUAGCGGUGAAAUGCGUAGAUAUCAAGAGGAACACCUGAGGUGAAGACGGGUUGCUGGGCUGACACUGACGCUGAGGCGCGAAAGCUAGGGUAGCAAACGGG